CUUACCUCGGUGAAAUUCAUAAAACAAUAUACGAAAGUAAUAACAUUAUCAUCAUCAUGAAAUCAUAGGAACUGUAUAACAUAAUGCUUAUCACGCCUUUUGCAUCUCAAUCAUGACAUAACAUAUUUUUCCUUAUUUACCAGCCUACUAGUAUCUAUGGGGAUCCAUAGGGGUCCCGCUACCCCUGAACCUUUAACACUUGUAAUCAGAUUUCAGGGCCGUCCCCAUACCCCGUCCGGUAUGGGCGCCAAAACUAUAAACCUCAAUACCCGUCCGGUAUGAGGGUGAAACAGGCCGUCCCCAUACCCCGUCCGGUAUGGGCGCCAAAACACAUAAGG
rnacentral:lncRNA from 1 species